rnacentral:lncRNA from 1 species
CCUCUACUGAUAAACUGACGUACUGCUCGGGACAUGAAAUUUCCUGGACAGUUCUCUAAGUAAAUAAAGAUGACUCUAAGGAAUACUCCACGAACAAAAGCGGAGCUCACCAAUAGCACUGAAAGGGAAGGAAAUCCUAACUCGUAGCCUGCUCGCCUGCAAAUCCGGUUCCUACGUUGUACCGCAGACCAACGUAGGUUCCCAAAAGAGAACGUCAGUAUCAUCCACUGUACUCAGUGAGUCUCAACAACAGGGGGAGAAACUUUAAUAACAUAUACAUUACGAGCAAAAGUUCUAAAUGCAUGUAAAACAUAAAACUUAUAAGAAUAAUUGCAUAAUAGCAAUUUAUGAAUAUUCUAAAAGAAAUUCUUCUCUUCUUCUUUCUUUAAAAAAAAUACUUCACUUUAUACUUUGGGAGUUCCAACUAUCCUGACUUAAUUCUGUCUCAGUCACCGUGUGAUCGGCACGGGUUCGAUCCCAACCUGAUCGAAUAGGCCCAAUCCACGAGGUGUCACUCGCUUCAUGGUUCUCAGCGCUCAUGUAUCAUACCUUAGCAUGACUAAGUAAAUUCUCAGCAACGAGACCCUCGGCUCGUAUGCUCCCUACUUUGGCACAAGUAGUUUCAGGAAGUCAACGUCUUGGUCAGGACCCUUAGCCUGGACGAUGACCCCUUCUCAGAAUAAAGGAUACUCCCAAAAAUCUUUUCUUUCUAAAACUUCUUCUUGUGACUUUUCAAGUCUAAAUCUUUCAAACAUACUCAUUUUGGAAUCCUUAAACGUAAGGUAUGACAUAAGAAUGAAAUAAACAUUCAAAAGUAUUUCUAAAGAUUCUUGCUUCUUCAUGAAAUUUUCUUCCUUUUUUUUUCCAUAUGAGAAUGGCCUAUAAAAAUUACACAAAAAUAUGAGAAUUUACUGUCUCCACAACACGCACGCAGCAACGUAACAGCUCUACACCUUCAAAUAAUGAAUCAAAGUACAAGCUUUUGGGAAUUCCUAAUUUUUGCAAUAUUUAUAUUAAUUUAUUGAUAGAUGUUGCAAGAAGUACUGCCACCCAAUUGCAUUCAUUCAAGAGAUACACCAAAGACGUGAUAUUUAUCUAUAGGACAUGCAUGUUCAUUGGAGUAACUAAGUAUCGUAGGAUCUUUUGAUGUAUACAAUUUAUGCACUAAAAUAAUUCUAAGCUAAUAGGUACUCACCCACUCCAAUUAGGUAAAUAUAAAUUCUUUUAAUCAAUUCAUCAAACACCUUGUAUGCGUGCUUUUGGGAGUUAAACCACUUUAGUAAAGGGUUAUAUAAACUCACCUCAAAACUUCUCGAGCCAAUACGUAGGCCCCAAUCCAAUUGACACCCGUCAAAUAAUCGUUUCUACAACAAUUAGUGUAUUUUAAUUAAUUUUAAAGUUUUGCACCUAAACACGGAACUUUACUGUUGAUAUAAAGAAAGAAGGGAAUUAACUAUUCAAUUCUUACCUAUUACUACUUAGGGUAAUUGAUAAUAAGAAAUUUUAUAUACCUGAGUUCACGAAUAAGUGAUUUGUAAAGAACCCUAGAUUUUUUUUCUUCGUUGACUAAGUCGCUGCCUCUGUUUCGUAGUGCUCUGUUUCAGUUUAUCGUGUAACACUUCUAAUCCUUCUGCUGAAUGCACGUUUUAGCCCUUUUUGUUCUGUUGAGGCUUUU